rnacentral:rRNA from 1 species
CCUACGGGUGGCAGCAGUGAGGAAUAUUGGUCAAUGGACGCGAGUCUGAACCAGCCACGUAGCGUGAAGGAUGACUGCCCUCGGGGUUGUAAACUUCUUUUAUAAAGGAAUAAAGUGAGGCGCGUGUGCCUUUUUGUGUGUACUUUAUGAAUAAGGAUCGGCUAACUCCGUGCCAGCAGCCGCGGUAAUACGGAGGAUCCGAGCGUUAUCCGGAGUUAUUGGGUUUAAAGGGAGCGUAGAUGGGUUGUUAAGUCAGUUGGGAAAGUUUGCGGCUCAACCGUAAAAUUGCAAUUGAUACUGGCAGCCUUGAGUACAGUUGAGGUAAGCGGAAUUCGUGGUGUAGCGGUGAAAUGCUUAGAUAUCACGAAGAACUCCGAUUGCGAAGGCAGCUUACUAAACUGCCACUGACAUUGAUGCUCGAAAGUGUGGGUAUCAAACAGGAUUAGAUACCCGGGUAGUC